rnacentral:tRNA from 4 species
GGACGAGUAGCUCAGCCUGGUUAGAGCACGUCACUGAUAAUGACGGGGUCGGAGGUUCAAAUCCUCCCUCGUCCA